rnacentral:rRNA from 1 species
UACGGAGGGUGCAAGCAUUGAUCGGAAUUACUGGGCGUAAAGGGCGCGUAGGCGGUUGGAAAAGUCAGAUGUGAAAUUCCGGGGCUCAACCUCGGAGCUGCAUUUGAAACUUUCCAGCUAGAGUUCAGUUAGGGAAAACGGAAUUCCACAUGUAGCGGUGAAAUGCGUAGAUAUGUGGAGGAACACCGGUGGUGAAGACGGUUUUCUGGGCUGAUACUGACGCUGAGGCGCGAAAGCAAGGGGAGCAAACAGG